rnacentral:rRNA from 1 species
GUGGGGAAUAUUGCACAAUGGGGGAAACCCUGAUGCAGCAACGCCACGUGUGGGAAGAAGCAUUUCGGUGUGUAAACCACUGUCAUGAGGGAAUAAGGCCCGCCUUCGGACGGGAUUGAAUGUACCUUGAGAGGAAGCACCGGCAAACUUCGUGCCAGCAGCCGCGGUAAUACGAGGGGUGCAAGCGUUGUUCGGAAUUACUGGGCGUAAAGGGAGCGUAGGCGGAGAUUCAAGCGGAUUGUACAAUCCCGGGGCCCAACCCCGGUUCUGCAGUCCGAACUGGAUCUCUUGGAUAGUUCAGGGGCAGGCGGAAUUCCUGGUGUAGCGGUGGAAUGCGUAGAGAUCAGGAAGAACACCGAUGGCGAAGGCAGCCUGCUGGGGACUCAUCGACGCUGAGGCUCGAAAGUGCGGGUAGCAAACAGG